AAAGGCGCUUUCGGGUGUCGCUGAUGGAUGGACCCGCGGUGCAUUAGCUAGUUGGUGAGGUAACGGCUCACCAAGGCCACGAUGCAUAGCCGACCUGAGAGGGUGAUCGGCCACAUUGGGACUGAGACACGGCCCAAACUCCUACGGGAGGCAGCAGUAGGGAAUCUUCGGCAAUGGACGAAAGUCUGACCGAGCAACGCCGCGUGAGUGAAGAAGGUUUUCGGAUCGUAAAACUCUGUUGUUAGAGAAGAACAAGGAUGAGAGUAACUGUUCAUCCCUUGACGGUAUCUAACCAGAAAGCCACGGCUAACUACGUGCCAGCAGCCGCGGUAAUACGUAGGUGGCAAGCGUUGUCCGGAUUUAUUGGGCGUAAAGCGAGCGCAGGCGGUUUCUUAAGUCUGAUGUGAAAGCCCCCGGCUCAACCGGGGAGGGUCAUUGGAAACUGGGAGACUUGAGUGCAGAAGAGGAGAGUGGAAUUCCAUGUGUAGCGGUGAAAUGCGUAGAUAUAUGGAGGAACACCAGUGGCGAAGGCGGCUCUCUGGUCUGUAACUGACGCUGAGGCUCGAAAGCGUGGGGAGCAAACAGGAUUAGAUACCCUGGUAGUCCACGCCGUAAACGAUGAGUGCUAAGUGUUGGAGGGUUUCCGCCCUUCAGUGCUGCAGCUAACGCAUUAAGCACUCCGCCUGGGGAGUACGACCGCAAGGUUGAAACUCAAAGGAAUUGACGGGGGCCCGCACAAGCGGUGGAGCAUGUGGUUUAAUUCGAAGCAACGCGAAGAACCUUACCAGGUCUUGACAUCCUUUGACCACUCUAGAGAUAGAGCUUCCCCUUCGGGGGCAAAGUGACAGGUGGUGCAUGGUUGUCGUCAGCUCGUGUCGUGAGAUGUUGGGUUAAGUCCCGCAACGAGCGCAACCCUUAUUGUUAGUUGCCAUCAUUCAGUUGGGCACUCUAGCAAGACUGCCGGUGACAAACCGGAGGAAGGUGGGGAUGACGUCAAAUCAUCAUGCCCCUUAUGACCUGGGCUACACACGUGCUACAAUGGGAAGUACAACGAGUUGCGAAGUCGCGAGGCUAAGCUAAUCUCUUAAAGCUUCUCUCAGUUCGGAUUGCAG
rnacentral:rRNA from 1 species